rnacentral:rRNA from 1 species
UACAGAGACUGCAAGCGUUAUUCGGAUUCACUGGGCGUAAAGGGUGCGCAGGCGGCCAAGUGUGUUAGGCGUGAAAGCCCGGGGCUUAACCCCGGAAUUGCACCUAAAACUACUUGGCUAGAGCAUUGGGGAGGGGAGCAGAAUUCACGGUGUAGCAGUGAAAUGCGUAGAUAUCGUGAGGAAUACCAGAGGCGAAGGCGGCUCCCUGGACAAUUGCUGACACUCAGGCACGAAAGCGUGGGGAGCGAACGGG